UACGAAGGGGCUAGCGUUGCUCGGAAUCACUGGGCGUAAAGGGUGCGUAGGCGGGUUCUUAAGUCAGAGGUGAAAUCCUGGAGCUCAACUCCAGAACUGCCUUUGAUACUGAGAGUCUUGAGUUCGGGAGAGGUGAGUGGAACUGCGAGUGUAGAGGUGAAAUUCGUAGAUAUUCGCAAGAACACCAGUGGCGAAGGCGGCUCACUGGCCCGAGUACUGACGCUGAGGCACGAAAGCG
rnacentral:rRNA from 1 species